rnacentral:rRNA from 1 species
CCUACGGGUGGCAGCAGUGAGGAAUAUUGGUCAAUGGGAGAGAUCCUGAACCAGCCAAGCCGCGUGAGGGAAGACGGCCCUAUGGGUUGUAAACCUCUUUUGUCGGAGAACAAAACCCGGGACGAGUCCCGGACUGCGUGUAUCCGACGAAAAAGCAUCGGCUAACUCCGUGCCAGCAGCCGCGGUAAUACGGAGGCUGCGAGCGUUAUCCGGAUUUAUUGGGUUUAAAGGGUGCGUAGGCGGUCUGUUAAGUCAGCGGGAAAAUUGCGGGGCUCAACCCCGUCGAGCCGUUGAAACUGGCAGACUUGAGUUGGCGAGAAGUAAGCGGAAUGCGCGGUGUAGCGGUGAAAUGCAUAGAUAUCGCGCAGAACUCCGAUUGCGAAGGCAGCGUACCGGAGCCAGACUGACGCUGAGGCACGAAAGCGUGGGGAUCGAACAGGAUUAGAUACCCUUGUAGUC